rnacentral:rRNA from 1 species
GACGGGGGCUCACACAAGCGGUGGAGGAUGUGGCUUAAUUCGAGGCUACGCGAAGAACCUUAUCCUAGAUUUGACAUGCACGGAUUAGUUUUAUGAAAGUAGAAUGACGAGCUUUGCUUGGAACGUGCACAGGUGCUGCAUGGCUGUCGUCAGCUCGUGUCGUGAGAUGUCGGGUUAAGUCCCUUAACGAGCGAAACCCUUGUCUUUAGUUGCCAGCGCGUCAUGGCGGGGACUCUAAAGAGACUGCCGGUGUUAAACCGGAGGAAGGUGGGGAUGACGUCAAGUCCUCAUGGCCUUUAUGUCUAGGGCUGCACACGUCCUACAAUGCGGCGUACAACGGGAAGCGAACUUGCGAGAGUAAGCAAAUCCCUUAAAGCGUCGCUCAGUUCGGAUUGCAGGCUGCAACUCGCCUGCAUGAAGCUGGAAUCGCUAGUAAUCGUGGGUCAGCAUACCACCGGUGAAUAUGUUCCUGAGCCUUGUACACACCGCCCGUCAAGCCACGAAAGUGGGGGGCAUCCGAAGUCGCCGAGGGAACCGCAAGGACNUAAGCGCCGAAGAUAAACUCUGUGAUUGGGAUUAAGUCGUAACAAGGUAGCUGUAGGGGAA